AUGACUGGCCACUCACAACCGUCGGAUCGAGAAUCGAAGCACGAGAUCGACCCAGGUGCGCUCCCACGCACCGAAAGCGAAGUCCUGAGACUGCACGCUGAAACAGGCACUACACUCCCACUCUCGUCUCGCACCGCGCCGCCGGCGGAAGAGAUGGCGGAGCUUCGGCACUCGACGGCGGCGGCGGCCGCCCGCGCAUCCAACUCUCCGGCAAAGCGCGACUCCGACGCGUCCUCCGCCUCCUCCCCAUUCGCUUCCACCUCCGCCGCCCGCGGCCGCGACGACGACGGCAAGGACGCCCACCGCUCCUCACCUCUCCUCCCGCACCACCAUCACCACAAGCAGCUCCUUCCGUCCCCCCUCCGCUCCCUCCUCGCCCUCGACGAGCCCAGGCCCCCCACCGCCUCCCUCUCCUACCGGAUCUUGCUCGCCGUCCUCGCGCUCCUCCUGCUCGCGGCCCUCUUCUCCGCGCCCUCCCUCUGGUCCCGCUUCAACGUGCCCUACUUGUGCCAGAAGGAGGGGAUCACGCUGCAUUGCCCUCAGACGAAGGAGCCUCUCUCACUGUGGGAGAACCCGCGUGCUGCCACCGCGUCCUGGAAGCCCUGCGCAGAGCGUCGAAGUGAUGAGCCCUCAGAUGUUCCACCUGAGAAGGAAACCUCUGGGUAUAUUUUUAUUCAUGCCGAGGGUGGACUGAACCAGCAACGAAUAGCUAUAUGUAAUGCUGUUGCAAUUGCUAAGAUAAUGGAAGCAACACUUAUUUUGCCAGUUCUGAAGCAGGACCAAAUAUGGAAAGACCAGACUAAAUUUGAAGAUAUCUUCGAUGUGGAUCAUUUUAUAAACUAUCUGAAGGACGACGUACGCAUUGUCCGAGACAUCCCUGACUGGUUCACAGAAAAAGAUGAACUCUUCACCAGUAUAAAUGUGGUCUAUGACAGGCGUACCGUGAAGAACAUCCCAAAGUAUGCAUCUGCACAGUUUUACAUUGAUAAUGUACUUCCAAGGAUCAAAGAGAAAACAAUAAUGUCUAUUAAGCCAUUUGUCGACAGGUUGGGGUAUGACAAUGUUCCGAUGGAGAUUAACCGACUAAGAUGCAGAGUUAAUUAUCACGCCUUAAAGUUCUUACCCCAUAUUGAAGAAAUGGCCGAUAAGCUGGCAACACAGAUGAGGAACCGAACUAGCAGCGGGAAUCCAUACAUGGCCCUUCAUCUGAGAUAUGAGAAAGGAAUGGUGGGCCUGUCCUUUUGUGAUUUUGCUGGAACACGUGAGGAGAAAGUGAUGAUGGCAGCUUAUAGACAGAAAGAAUGGCCACGGCGCUUUAAGAAUGGAUCUCACCUGUGGCCAUUAGCAUUACAAAAGAGAAAAGAAGGGCGUUGCCCCCUUGAGCCUGGUGAGAUAGCUGUGAUCCUGCGAGCACUGGGAUACACAAGGGAAACACAGAUAUAUGUUGCAUCAGGGCAAGUGUACGGUGGCAAAAACAGGAUGGCUCCCCUCAGAAACAUGUUCCCCAACUUGGUGACCAAGGAGGAGUUGGCGAGCACGGCGGAGAUGGAGCACUUCCGGAAGCACGUGACGAGCCUGGCGGCGCUGGACUUCCUGGUGUGCCUCAAGUCGGACGUGUUCGUGAUGACGCACGGCGGCAACUUCGCCAAGCUCAUCAUGGGGGCGCGGCGCUACAGCGGGCGCCACCGGCUCAAGUCCAUCAAGCCCGACAAGGGGCUCAUGUCCAAGUCCCUCGGCGACCCGUACCUGGCCUGGGCCUCCUUCACCGAGGACGUCGUCAUCUCGCACCAGGCCCGCGGCGGCCUCCCCGAGCCCACCUUCCCCGGCUACGACCUCUGGGAGAACCCCCUCACCCCCUGCAUGUGCAGAGCAUGA
rnacentral:rRNA from 1 species